GAUGAACGCUGGCGGCGUGCUUAACACAUGCAAGUCGAACGAAGCACUUUAUUUGAUUUCCUUCGGGACUGAUUAUUUUGUGACUGAGUGGCGGACGGGUGAGUAACGUGUGGGUAACCUGCCUUGUACAGGGGGAUAACAGUUGGAAACGGCUGCUAAUACCGCAUAAGCGCACAGCAUCGCAUGAUGCAGUGUGAAAAACUCCGGUGGUAUAAGAUGGACCCGCGUUGGAUUAGCUAGUUGGUGAGGUAACGGCCCACCAAGGCGACGAUCCAUAGCCGACCUGAGAGGGUGACCGGCCACAUUGGGACUGAGACACGGCCCAAACUCCUACGGGAGGCAGCAGUGGGGAAUAUUGCACAAUGGGCGAAAGCCUGAUGCAGCGACGCCGCGUGAGCGAAGAAGUAUUUCGGUAUGUAAAGCUCUAUCAGCAGGGAAGAUAAUGACGGUACCUGACUAAGAAGCACCGGCUAAAUACGUG
rnacentral:rRNA from 1 species